rnacentral:lncRNA from 1 species
UCAUCCUGGCUCAAAAAGCUUUCCCACUGAGCACCUUGUAACCCCCACUCCUGCCCUCCAGAGAACAACCACCCUUUGACUGUAAUUUUCCUUUACCUACCCAAAUCCUGUAAAACAGCCCCACCCCUAUCUCCCUUGGCUGACUCUUUUCGGACUCAGCCUGCCUGCCCCCAGGUGAAAUAAACAGCCUUGUUGCUCACACAAGCCUGUUUGGUGGUCUCUUCACAGGGACGCAAGUAAAACAAACCUGCCUCCCAUUCUAUUCAAAGUCACCCCUCUGCUCACUGAGAUAGAGGCAUAUAUGAUUGUCUCCUUUGGAAAUGCUCAUCAGAAACUCAAAAGAAUGUAACCCUUUGUAUAUCACCUGUCUGUGACCUGGAAGCUCCCUCCCCACUUGCAGUCUUCCUGACUUUGCUUCAAGUUGUCCCACCUUUCCAGACCAAACCAAUGUACUUCUUACAUACACUGAUUGAUGUCUCAUGUCUCCUUAAAAUAUAUAAAACCAAGCUGUGCCCUGACCACCUUGGACACAUGUUGGUAGGA